rnacentral:rRNA from 1 species
GAUGAACGCUGGCGGCGUGCCUAAUACAUGCAAGUCGAGCGAACGGACGAGAAGCUUGCUUCUCUGAUGUUAGCGGCGGACGGGUGAGUAACACGUGGAUAACCUACCUAUAAGACUGGGAUAACUUCGGGAAACCGGAGCUAAUACCGGAUAAUAUUUUGAACCGCAUGGUUCAAAAGUGAAAGACGGUCUUGCCGUCACUUAUAGAUGGAUCCGCGCUGCAUUAGCUAGUUGGUAAGGUAACGGCUUACCAAGGCAACGAUGCAUAGCCGACCUGAGAGGGUGAUCGGCCACACUGGAACUGAGACACGGUCCAGACUACUACGGGAGGCAGCAGUAGGGAACCUUCCGCAAUGGGCGAAAGCCUGACGGAGCAACGCCGCGUGAGUGAUGAAGGUCUUCGGAUCGUAAAACUCUGUUAUUAGGGAAGAACAUAUGUGUAAGUAACUGUGCACAUCUUGACGGUACCUAAUCAGAAAGCCACGGCUAACUACGUG